UAGGGAAUCUUCCGCAAUGGGCGAAAGCUUGACGGAGCAACGCCGCGUGAGUGAUGAAGGUCUUCGGAUCGUAAAACUCUGUUAUUAGGGAAGAACAAAUGUGUAAGUAACUAUGCACGUCUUGACGGUACCUAAUCAGAAAGCCACGGCUAACUACGUGCCAGCAGCCGCGGUAAUACGUAGGUGGCAAGCGUUAUCCGGAAUUAUUGGGCGUAAAGCGCGCGUAGGCGGUUUUUUAAGUCUGAUGUGAAAGCCCACGGCUCAACCGUGGAGGGUCAUUGGAAACUGGAAAACUUGAGUGCAGAAGAGGAAAGUGGAAUUCCAUGUGUAGUGGUGAAAUGCGCAGAGAUAUGGAGGAACACCAGUGGCGAAGGCGACUUUCUGGUCUGUAACUGACGCUGAUGUGCGAAAGCGUGGGGAUCAAACAGG
rnacentral:rRNA from 1 species